rnacentral:rRNA from 1 species
GAUGAACGCUGGCGGCGUGCCUAAUACAUGCAAGUCGAGCGAACAGACGAGGAGCUUGCGCCUCUGACGUGAGCGGCGGGCGGGUGAGUAACGCGUGUAUAACCUACCUAUAAGACGGGGAUAACUUCGGAAAACCGGAGCUAAUACCGGAGAAGAUAUUGAAGCGCAGGGGGCAAUAGUAAAAGACGGUUGUGCGGGCACUUAUAGAGGGAUCCGCGCCGCAUUAGCUGGUUGGUAAGGUAACGGCUUACCACGGCAACGAGGCGUAGGCGAAGGGAGGGGGUGAUCGCCCACCUUGGAACUGAGCCGCGCACCAUAGUACUACGGGAGGCCGCAGUAGGCAACCUGACGCAAUGGGGGAAAGUAUGACGGAGCAACGCCGCGUGAGUGAUGAAGGUCUUCGGAGCGUAAAAAUCUGUUAUGAGUGAAGAACCAAUGUGUAAGUAAAUAUGCACGUAUUGACGGUACUUAAUAAGAAAGCCACGGCUAACUACGUG